UCUUUUAAUUGAAGGCUUGUAUGAAUGGUUGGACGAGAUAUUAACUGUUUCAAUUAAAUAAAUAUUAGAAUUUUAUUUUUUAGUAAAAAAGCUAAAAUUAAAUUAAAAGACGAGAAGACCCUAUAGAUCUUAAUAAUUUAUAUAUAGUUUUUAUAAAGAAUAAUUUAAAUUAGGUAUAAAAAAUUAUUUUAUUGGGGUGAUAACAAAAUUUAAAUAACUUUUGUAUUUUAAUUACAUAAAUUUAUGAUUUAUUGAUCCAUAAAUAAUGAUUAAUAAAUUAAGUUACCUUAGGGAUAACAGCGUAAUUUUUUUAGAGAGUUCAUAUCGAUAAAAAAGAUUGC
rnacentral:rRNA from 1 species